rnacentral:rRNA from 1 species
GACGAACGCUGGCGGCGUGCCUAAUACAUGCAAGUAGAACGCUGAAGGAGGAGCUUGCUUCUCUGGAUGAGUUGCGAACGGGUGAGUAACGCGUAGGUAACCUGCCUGGUAGCGGGGGAUAACUAUUGGAAACGAUAGCUAAUACCGCAUAAUAUUGACUAUUGCAUGAUAGUCAGUUGAAAGGUGCAACUGCACCACUACCAGAUGGACCUGCGUUGUAUUAGCUAGUUGGUGGGGUAACGGCUCACCAAGGCGACGAUGCAUAGCCGACCUGAGAGGGUGAUCGGCCACACUGGGACUGAGACACGGCCCAGACUCCUACGGGAGGCAGCAGUAGGGAAUCUUCGGCAAUGGACGGAAGUCUGACCGAGCAACGCCGCGUGAGUGAAGAAGGUUUUCGGAUCGUAAAGCUCUGUUGUAAGAGAAGAACGAGUGUGAGAGUGGAAAGCUCACACUGUGACGGUAUCUUACCAGAAAGGGACGGCUAACUACGUG